AACGCUGGCGGCGUGCUAAUACAUGCAAGUCGAGCGAACAGACGAGGAGCUUGCUCCUCUGACGUUAGCGGCGGACGGGUGAGUAACACGUGGAUAACCUACCUAUAAGACUGGGAUAACUUCGGGAAACCGGAGCUAAUACCGGAUAAUAUAUUGAACCGCAUGGUUCAAUAGUGAAAGACGGUUUUGCUGUCACUUAUAGAUGGAUCCGCGCCGCAUUAGCUAGUUGGUAAGGUAACGGCUUACCAAGGCAACGAUGCGUAGCCGACCUGAGAGGGUGAUCGGCCACACUGGAACUGAGACACGGUCCAGACUCCUACGGGAGGCAGCAGUAGGGAAUCUUCCGCAAUGGGCGAAAGCUUGACGGAGCCACGCCGCGUGAGUGAUGAAGGUCUUCGGAUCGUAAAACUCUGUUAUUAGGGAAGAACAAAUGUGUAAGUAACUAUGCACGUCUUGACGGUACCUAAUCAGAAAGCCACGGCUAACUACGUGCCAGCAGCCGCGGUAAUACGUAGGUGGCAAGCGUUAUCCGGAAUUAUUGGGCGUAAAGCGCGCGUAGGCGGUUUUUUAGGUCUGAUGUGAAAGCCCACGGCUCAACCGUGGAGGGUCAUUGGAAACUGGAAAACUUGAGUGCAGAAGAGGAAAGUGGAAUUCCAUGUGUAGCGGUGAAAUGCGCAGAGAUAUGGAGGAACACCAGUGGCGAAGGCGACUUUCUGGUCUGUAACUGACGCUGAUGUGCGAAAGCGUGGGGAUCAAACAGGAUUAGAUACCCUGGUAGUCCACGCCGUAAACGAUGAGUGCUAAGUGUUAGGGGGUUUCCGCCCCUUAGUGCUGCAGCUAACGCAUUAA
rnacentral:rRNA from 1 species